rnacentral:rRNA from 1 species
CAAGUCGAGCGAGAAGACGUAGCAAUACGUUUGUAAAGCGGCGAACGGGUGAGGAAUACAUGGGUAACCUACCCUCGAGUGGGGAAUAACUAGCCGAAAGGUUAGCUAAUACCGCGUACGCUUCUUGGACUUCGGUUCAGGGAGGAAAGCGAUACCGUGGGUAUCGCGCUCUUGGAUGGGCUCAUGUCCUAUCAGCUUGUUGGUGAGGUAACGGCUCACCAAGGCUUCGACGGGUAGCUGGUCUGAGAGGACGAUCAGCCACACUGGCACUGCGACACGGGCCAGACUCCUACGGAAGGCAGCAGUAAGGAAUAUUGCGCAAUGGGCGAAAGCCUGACGCAGCGACGCCGCGUGGGGGAUGAAGGUCUUCGGAUUGUAAACCCCUUUCGGGAGGGAAGAUGGAAUGGGGUAACCCAUUCGGACGGUACCUCCAGAAGCAGCCACGGCUAACUUCGUGCCAGCAGCCGCGGUAAUACGAAGGUGGCAAGCGUUAUUCGGAUUUACUGGGCGUACAGGGAGCGUAGGCGGUUCGGUAAGCCCUUUGUGAAAUCUUCAGGCUUAACCUGGAACAGUCGGAGGGGACUGCCGGGCUAGAGGACGGGAGAGGAGCGCGGAAUUCCCGGUGUAGCGGUGAAAUGCGUAGAGAUCGGGAGGAAGGCCGGUGGCGAAGGCGGCGCUCUGGAACGUUUCUGACGCUGAGGCUCGAAAGCGUGGGGAGCAAACAGGAUUAGAUACCCUGGUAGUCCACGCCUUAAACUAUGAAUACUAAGUGUCGGCGGGUUACCGCCGGUGCCGCAGCUAACGCAUUAAGUAUUCCGCCUGGGAAGUACGGCCCCAAGGUUGAAACUCAAA